AGAUCGAUCCAUCAGCUGCACGGGAACUCAGGUUCCAGGUUGCAGCAGUCGAUCACUCGGUUCCCCUCUGACCACGGAUGUACUGGCAGAGGUGUCGAACCGGGGAGAAAAAGGUCGGGUUUCCCCGGCCUUUUUGUUU
rnacentral:sRNA from 1 species